rnacentral:rRNA from 1 species
CGGUAAUACCAGCUCUCCGAGUGGUGUGGAUGUUUAUUGGGCCUAAAGCAUCCGUAGCUGGCUAAGUUAGUCCCUUGUUAAAUCCACCGAAUUAAUCGUUGGAUUGCGGGGGAUACUGCUUGGUUAGGGGACGAGAGAGGCAGACGGUAUUUCCGGGGUAGGGGUGAAAUCCUAUAAUCCCGGGAAGACCACCAGUGGCGAAGGCUGUCGGCUAGAACGCG